CCGUUGCCGGCGACCGGCGCACGGGUGAGUAACACGUAUGCAACCUGCCCGUGGCAGGGGGAUAAGCGGGGGAAACCCCGUCUAAUACCGCGUAACGCGGCCUUGGGGCAUCCCAAGGCCGCCAAAGGGAGCAAUCCCGGCCACGGAUGGGCAUGCGGCGCAUUAGCUAGUCGGCGGGGUAACGGCCCACCGAGGCGACGAUGCGUAGGGGUUCUGAGAGGAAGGCCCCCCACACUGGUACUGAGACACGGACCAGGCUCCUACGGGAGGCAGCAG
rnacentral:rRNA from 1 species